AGUGAACGCUGGCGGUAGGCCUAACACAUGCAAGUCGAACGGCAGCACAGUAAGAGCUUGCUCUUACGGGUGGCGAGUGGCGGACGGGUGAGGAAUACAUCGGAAUCUACUUUUUUGUGGGGGAUAACGUAGGGACACUUACGCUAAUACCGCAUACGACCUAAGGGUGAAAGCAGGGGAUCUUCGGACCUUGCGCGAUUGAAUGAGCCGAUGUCGGAUUAGCUAGUUGGCGGGGUAAAGGCCCACCAAGGCGACGAUCCGUAGCUGGUCUGAGAGGAUGAUCAGCCACACUGGAACUGAGACACGGUCCAGACUCCUACGGGAGGCAGCAGUGGGGAAUAUUGGACAAUGGGCGCAAGCCUGAUCCAGCCAUACCGCGUGGGUGAAGAAGGCCUUCGGGUUGUAAAGCCCUUUUGUUGGGAAAGAAAAGCAGCAGGUUAAUACCCCGCUGUUCUGACGGUACCCAAAGAAUAAGCACCGGCUAACUUCGUG
rnacentral:rRNA from 1 species